GCGUUUGAAUUAAUUGGUUUUGGUCAGAUUUCUCCAUCCAUUUCUGCAAGUACGAGUGCUCCUCCUGUUAGCACCCUAUGGACCAUGUAAGGACCUUGCCAGUUGGGAGAGAAUUUCUUGGGCUUCGUCUUAACGUGGGAAGAUCUUCUUCAAUACCAGCUAUCCUGGUGCGAACUGUCUUAGCGUCGAUGGUCAGCAUAAUGAACUUUGAUAGGAGGCGUAGUACUAAAUAUGAGUGUAUUAGGAGAAAUCAUAGACAUGAUGUUGGGGAAAAUCAGUGUAGAUCUUCACUCGUAAAGCAUAUUAGAGCUCCUGUUCAUCUUGUUUGAUCAUUAGUGAGGAGGUUUGAUCAGCCACAAAGAUAUAAACCAUUUGUGAGCACUCAGCAGGUGCAUCGUGCAAUGGGACCUUGAAAUUGGUUGUGUCAGAGAAGUGAAUGUUAAGUCUGGACUCCCAGCUACCACAAGUAAGGAGAGAUUAGAGCGUCUAAAUGACGAGGAGCACGUCUUUUGGUGUAAAGAUUGUGGGUGGAGAUCACAGGCUCAGGGUAUGAAUAUUUUAUCUUCUCAUUUGACAUGUUAAUCGGCUUGUUAGAUGCUUAUUUUAUGUGCGGGAAACCUUGUUAAACGGGGAAAAAAUUAUAUGUGCUGUCAACUUUGUUGAGGUAAUGUGUUUUGAGCUUCUAAUUGAAGUUUCAUUUUCCUAAAAGAAGGAAUACAGAAUCUGAUGUCUUUCCAAUGGUAGUAAACUAUGCUGCUCCAGCCAUCUCGCAUCUUCGUGUUAAUUCAAUAAGUUUAACUAUUUGUUCUUCA